AUUGAACGCUGGCGGCAUGCCUUACACAUGCAAGUCGAACGGCAGCACGGGAGCAAUCCUGGUGGCGAGUGGCGAACGAGUGAGUAAUAUAUCGGAACGUGCCCAGUCGUGGGGGAUAACGUAGCGAAAGCUACGCUAAUACCGCAUACGAUCUAUGGAUGAAAGCGGGGGAUCGCAAGACCUCGCGCGAUUGGAGCGGCCGAUAUCAGAUUAGGUAGUUGGUGAGGUAAAGGCUCACCAAGCCGACGAUCUGUAGCUGGUCUGAGAGGACGACCAGCCACACUGGGACUGAGACACGGCCCAGACUCCUACGGGAGGCAGCAGUGGGGAAUUUUGGACAAUGGGCGCAAGCCUGAUCCAGCAAUGCCGCGUGCAGGAUGAAGGCCUUCGGGUUGCAAACUGCUUUUGUACGGAGCGAAAAGGCUUCCACUAAUACUGGGGGCUCAUGACGGUACCGUAAGAAUAAGCACCGGCUAACUACGUGCCAGCCGCCGCGGUAACAC
rnacentral:rRNA from 1 species